rnacentral:rRNA from 1 species
UUUCCAGAGAUGGAUUGGUGGCCUUCCGGGAACUCUGAGACAGGUGCUGCAUGGCUGUCGUCAGCUCGUGUUGUGAAAUGUUGGGUUAAGUCCCGCAACGAGCGCAACCCUUAUCCUUUGUUGCCAGCGAUUCGGUCGGGAACUCAAAGGAGACUGCCAGUGAUAAACUGGAGGAAGGUGGGGAUGACGUCAAGUCAUCAUGGCCCUUACGAGUAGGGCUACACACGUGCUACAAUGGCGCAUACAAAGAGAAGCGACCUCGCGAGAGCAAGCGGACCUCAUAAAGUGCGUCGUAGUCCGGAUUGGAGUCUGCAACUCGACUCCAUGAAGUCGGAAUCGCUAGUAAUCGUAGAUCAGAAUGCUACGGUGAAUACGUUCCCGGGCCUUGUACACACCGCCCGUCACACCAUGGGAGUGGGUUGCAAAAGAAGUAGGUAGCUUAACCUUCGGGAGGGCGCUUACCACUUUGUGAUUCAUGACUGGGGUGAAGUCGUAACAAGGUAGGCGUAGUGCU